rnacentral:lncRNA from 1 species
CCCCCAAACCCACCUUUCGCUUCCUACCUCUCCCUCCCCCUAUAUUUUGCUCUUGCUCCCACACCUCUGUCUCCUAACCACCGUAGAUCUAAUGCUCUCGCAUCCAAUGCCAGCCUCCUCCUCCAUCCCCGGGCUUCGGCACCUCACUGCCCGCCUAUCUCCACCAACUACUUGUGGGCUUCCACCAACCUGAGCAUCCCUCUAAAGCCGCCCUCACUUCCCCCUAUUCCCCCUCCCACCGCCUCCAACCCCAAAACCAUAACCCAUAGGUUUUCUACC